CCGCCGGACCUGACUGCUAUCGGAUUGAUACUAAGCCAUGCGAGUCGUUGUAGCAAUACAAGGCAUACGGCUCAGUAACGCGUAGUCAACCUAACCUAUGGACGGGAAUAACCUCGGGAAACUGAGAAUAAUGCCCGAUAGAACAUUAUGCCUGGAAUGGUUUAUGUUCCAAAUGAUUUAUCGCCAUAGGAUGGGACUGCGGCCUAUCAGUUUGUUGGUGAGGUAAUGGCCCACCAAGACUAUUACAGGUACGGGCUCUGAGAGGAGUAGCCCGGAGAUGGGUACUGAGACACGGACCCAGGCCCUAUGGGGCGCAGCAGGCGAGAAAACUUUGCAAUGUGCGAAAGCACGACAAGGUUAAUCCGAGUGAUUUCUGCUAAAGAGAUCUUUUGUUAGUCCUAGAAACACUAACGAAUAAGGGGUGGGCAAGUUCUGGUGUCAGCCGCCGCGGUAAAACCAGCACCUCAAGUGGUCAGGAUGAUUAUUGGGCCUAAAGCAUCCGUAGCCGGCUCUGUAAGUUUUCGGUUAAAUCUGUACGCUCAACGUACAGGCUGCCGGAAAUACUGCAGAACUAGGGAGUGGGAGAGGUAGACGGUAUUCGGUAGGAAGUGGUAAAAUGCUUUGAUCUAUCGAUGACCACCUGUGGCGAAGGCGGUCUACCAGAACACGUCCGACGGUGAGGGAUGAAAGCUGGGGGAGCAAACCGGAUUAGAUACCCGGGUAGUCCCAGCUGUAAACUAUGCAAACUCAGUGAUGCAUUGGCUUGUGGCCAAUGCAGUGCUGCAGGGAAGCCGUUAAGUUUGCCGCCUGGGAAGUACGUACGCAAGUAUGAAACUUAAAGGAAUUGGCGGGGGAGCACCACAAGGGGUGAAGCCUGCGGUUCAAUUGGAGUCAACGCCGGG
rnacentral:rRNA from 1 species